rnacentral:lncRNA from 1 species
GCCACCGUCCCGCUCCCCGUCGCCCCACGCCGCCCUCGUCGCCGCGCCCAGACCCCUGCGGCGGCCGCAGCCGCUUGGGACUCGCUGCGAGCUGGUUUCGGAUCCAUCCCGCCUCCCGGCGUCUCACUGUGUGCCCUACCCUUUGAAACACGCCCCCGCGCCCGCCCUGCCGUAGACCAGGCAGCGAGGAAGCCCACAGUCUCCGGGGGCGCUGCGCGCGAAGUAGCACGUGCUUCUCGAAACACCGCAGCCCCCGGGUCCCGCCCCGCCCGGCGCGCGCACUCGAACCCGCCCAGAGAGCGGUGCGUGGCGCUGGGUGCGAGCAGGGUCUAGCCACCCCCACCCUCACCCCACCCCACCCCACCCUGCUUUUUUCAGGUUCAUCAAGGUUUGCGCAGUGGAUCCGCGAAUGAAGCCAGCCUGGAAGAUCCCCAGUCUCGAGACAGAGCCUGACAGGGGCAGAUGCACUGGAAGGACCCUGUCUGGGUUUAGCAACCAAGCAGCCAUCCUGGCCCCACAGGUGUGGGACUUCUGGGUCUUCUCCUGGCUGGCUUCUUGCUAGAGGAUUUCAAGAGACCCAGCAAGACUGUAUUGUCCCACUGAAUGCUCAAGAUAUUGGUUAGAAGUAGAAAAGGGGAGGGGGUAGUAUUUAGCCUCUGUCCCCACUAAAAAUUAUUCCCAAUUGUCAUUUGUGUCAUCUGUUUAGCUUACAGUUUUAAUCCUUGUCAAAAUGAUCAUUUGCCAGGGUGCAUAAAACACCCUAUUUGAUGAGAACUGGUUUUAAAGGAAAAUGGGGCCAUCAGAAGGAAGCCGGUUGGUGUGAAGAGACGUCUGGGAAGAGCCCCUGGCGAGGGCCCUCAUUCCACUGGGUGACCCAGAAGGAGAAAACCGCGAUGGCGCUUCUCAUUUGAAAUGUUUUCUUUAUGGACAGUGUUUAGCAAUUGUUAUAAUGUGUACUUUUGUUGAUUGAUCUGUAUACAUAUGUAAAAUAAUUUGUUCUCUGAGUUAAUUUUGUUGGAACAAAGACUUUAGUGCUUCCUACAUUAAAACAUUUUACUGUAUUGCCUGCAUUUUAA